CCUACGGGAGGCAGCAGUGAGGAAUAUUGGUCAAUGGGCUUACGCCUGAACCAGCCAAGUCGCGUGAGGGAAGACUGCCCUAUGGGUUGUAAACCUCUUUUGCCAGGGAGCAAUUGGCGCUACGUGUAGCGUUAUCGAGAGUACCCGAAGAAAAAGCAUCGGCUAACUCCGUGCCAGCAGCCGCGGUAAUACGGAGGAUGCGAGCGUUAUCCGGAUUUAUUGGGUUUAAAGGGUGCGUAGGCGGAAUGCCAAGUCAAGGGUGAAAUCCCCGCGCUCAACGUGGGAACUGCCUUUGAAACUGGCAAACUGGAGUGUGUGAGAGGAUAGUUGAAUGCCAGGUGUAGGAGUGAAAUCCGUAGAUAUCUGGAGGAACAUCAGUGGCGAAGGCGACUAUCUGGCACAUAACUGACGCUGAGGAGCGAAAGCGUGGGUAGCAAACAGGAUUAGAUACCCCAGUAGUC
rnacentral:rRNA from 1 species